CUAAAUUGAAAUGUUUGUAUUUUACAGCAAAUGUAUUUCCACACAGGGGUUGGGGAGUACAUUCUCUUUGAAACAUUACUGACCUCCACAGCAGGAGAGAUGGGCGGGGCAUGUGUGGCAAUAUUUUUCCUGGCUGUGCUUUACGAGGGGCUAAAAGUGCUGAGAGAACAUCUGCUUAGAAAAAGUCUGAGCUCCAACAAAUACAGCAGCGUCACCGCCACAGGAAAUGGCUUCUCACAAGAUGCUACUGUCAUAGACCCCAGCAAAUCAAAAAACAAUAG